rnacentral:rRNA from 1 species
UACGAAGGGGGCUAGCGUUGUUCGGAAUUACUGGCCGUAAAGCGCACGUAGGCGGACUGUUAAGUCAGGGGUGAAAUCCUGGAGCUCAACUCCAGAACUGCCUUUGAUACUGAUGGUCUCGAGUCCGGAAGAGGUGAGUGGAAUUCCGAGUGUAGAGGUGAAAUUCGUAGAUAUUCGGAGGAACACCAGUGGCGAAGGCGGCUCACUGGUCCGGUACUGACGCUGAGGUGCGAAAGCGUGGGGAGCAAACAGG